rnacentral:misc_RNA from 1 species
GUGCGGAAAUGAUCUUGCGGUUUCACAAGUCUGCAACAACAGCCCUGCUGAAAGUCACACAUGAGAAAUAUAUGUGUUCCAGCAACGGCAAAGUUGCAUCAAUAAGACCUUUGGAGAGUCUCCCUUAAGACUAUAUGAAUUGUAGCGACUUCUCUUUGAAAUCUAAGCUCCAAAUGAAAUGUUGAGACGUGAUUCUUGUGUGUUGAAAAGAAAGGAUUGAUUACUUAUGCAAUCCCUCUGUUAUAUCUGCUGAUUUUAGUAGUGCAAGUACAUCUCUUUCUGAUUUCAUUUUUUCUUUUUG